GACGAACGCUAGCUACAGGCUUAACACAUGCAAGUCGAGGGGAAACGAUAUUGGAAGCUUGCUUCCGAUAGGCGUCGACCGGCGCACGGGUGAGUAACGCGUAUCCAACCUGCCCAUCACUUGGGGAUAACCUUGCGAAAGUAAGACUAAUACCCAAUGAUAUCCGUCGAAGACAUCUGAAGUGGAUUAAAGAUUCAUCGGUGAUGGAUGGGGAUGCGUCUGAUUAGCUUGUUGGCGGGGUAACGGCCCACCAAGGCGACGAUCAGUAGGGGUUCUGAGAGGAAGGCCCCCCACAUUGGAACUGAGACACGGUCCAAACUCCUACGGGAGGCAGCAGUGAGGAAUAUUGGUCAAUGGGCGAGAGCCUGAACCAGCCAAGUAGCGUGCAGGAAGACGGCCCUAUGGGUUGUAAACUGCUUUUAUAAGGGAAUAAAGUGAGUCUCGUGAGACUUUUUGCAUGUACCUUAUGAAUAAGGACCGGCUAAUUCCGUGCCAGCCGCCGCCGUAA
rnacentral:rRNA from 1 species